AACGAACGCUGGCGGCAGGCUUAACACAUGCAAGUCGAGCGCCCCGCAAGGGGAGCGGCAGACGGGUGAGUAACGCGUGGGAAUCUACCCAUCUCUACGGAAUAACGCAUGGAAACGUGUGCUAAUACCGUAUACGUCCUUCGGGAGAAAGAUUUAUCGGAGAUGGAUGAACCCGCGUUGGAUUAGCUAGUUGGUGGGGUAAAGGCCUACCAAGGCGACGAUCCAUAGCUGGUCUGAGAGGAUGAUCAGCCACACUGGGACUGAGACACGGCCCAGACUCCUACGGGAGGCAGCAGUGGGGAAUAUUGGACAAUGGGCGCAAACCUGAUCCAGCCAUGCCGCGUGAGUGAUGAAGGCCCUAGGGUUGUAAAGCUCUUUCACCGGUGAAGAUAAUGACGGUAACCGGAGAAGAAGCCCCGGCUAACUUCGUGCCAGCAGCCGCCAUAAGAC
rnacentral:rRNA from 1 species